AAAUUGAAGAGUUUGAUCAUGGCUCAGAUUGAACGCUGGCGGCAGGCCUAACACAUGCAAGUCGAACGGUAACAGGAAGCAGCUUGCUGCUUUGCUGACGAGUGGCGGACGGGUGAGUAAUGUCUGGGAAACUGCCUGAUGGAGGGGGAUAACUACUGGAAACGGUGGCUAAUACCGCAUAACGUCGCAAGACCAAAGAGGGGGACCUUCGGGCCUCUUGCCAUCAGAUGUGCCCAGAUGGGAUUAGCUAGUUGGUGAGGUAACGGCUCACCAAGGCGACGAUCCCUAGCUGGUCUGAGAGGAUGACCAGCCACACUGGAACUGAGACACGGUCCAGACUCCUACGGGAGGCAGCAGUGGGGAAUAUUGCACAAUGGGCGCAAGCCUGAUGCAGCCAUGCC
rnacentral:rRNA from 1 species